UACGUAGGUGGCAAGCGUUAUCCGGAUUUACUGGGUGUAAAGGGCGUGUAGGCGGGGACGCAAGUCAGAUGUGAAAACCACGGGCUCAACCUGUGGCCUGCAUUUGAAACUGUGUUUCUUGAGUACUGGAGAGGCAGACGGAAUUCCUAGUGUAGCGGUGAAAUGCGUAGAUAUUAGGAGGAACACCAGUGGCGAAGGCGGUCUGCUGGACGGCAACUGACGCUGAGGCGCGAAAGCGUGGGGAGCAAACAGG
rnacentral:rRNA from 1 species